CGCCGCACGGGGACCUCCGAGGGGACAGCUGCCCACGUGUGCCCGCGGACUCCCGGCCCUUUCCUGGGUCUCAGGCAGGGGAUGUCCUCUGUCCAGACCCGCCCGCGCCGGCCUGGGAGGCGGGUGCUGUGACCCCGGCCCAGGGCCUCCCGGCCGGCUGCCCCGGUGAGCACCCCCGGCUCGCCACCAGCCCGCAGAGGGUCGGCGGUGAGCCACACCUGGAACAGACGGAGGGACCUGCAGGCACAAGGGGCAGAUCGCUUCCCUGGACCGCGACCCACUCGUCCGCCCAGCAGCACCCUCCGCCGGCCCCGCCUGGGAGAGGGCACCAGGCGAUGGAGCAGGAGGCCUUUCACGUCUCUGAAAGGCCUAGACACUGUCCACGGUCCCUGCCCUCCAAGGGCCCUUAGGCGUCUUUAAAAUCCUUGGGAGUGUGUUCGUGGAUUCGGGUUUUCCCUCGCGGGCCUCUCCUGAGCCUGAGCCUGUCCAUGGUGUCGCCGCGGGGCGGCCUCACGUUUCCUGGCCCCUGAACUCGGAGAGCUUGCCCAAAAUGCACGGCUGCUGUGGGACACGGGAGACGGAAUUUUCCUGGCGCGGAGUGGUUAGCGGAGUGGUUAGUUUAUCAGCGUGUAAUUUAACAUACUUAAAACUCCCCCACCUUCAGUGGCCUGUCCCUGUGGGGGCCUGGCCUCAGAUCGCGGGCCUCACCUGAGCACGCGGUGCCGCUCGCGCGCACCCUCAGACCGGCCCCCUGGGCAGCGACCUGCGGCUCCGGGUCAGCGUCCUGCCCGCAGAGGCUCCAGCCAGACCUCUCAGAGGUGGGGCCUCCCAGGCUGGGCCGCAGGGCUCUCCUCACGGCUCGCCAUUCUGCAUGAUCUUGAUCUCCAUGCUUUUGGCGGUUUGAGGGAAGUCAGUAAAAAGCAGUAUCUUUGGCCGGAAGUUCUGGUUUAUUUUUCGGAAAGGUAAGCAGAUCCUACAUAUUUUCGGCGACUUUGCUCUGUCGCACUAGCACCGGGCCAGCCUGAAGCACACGAAACACAAGCUGCAGGGGCAUCUUUCCAGUCCGACACAGGGCGCGGAGACCCUCCUGCGGGGACCCCGGGGCAGCCGGCCAGCGCCCCGAGCAGGCUCAGUGCAGUGGUGCAAGCCGGCGCUCUGUCCCGCCUCCCCGCUGCCGUGAGACAACGCUACACCAGCCAACUUGCCGCCUGCAGGCUCUCCUCCCCCUACCCCUGCAGGAACCACAGUCCCAGCUCCUGAGCCUCCCAGGUGAGGCCCAUCCAUGAGGAGGCCAGACCCCCAGGGGGUUAAGCUGCACUCCUCACAUGUGGGAGUGAGGACGGGCCAGGGGCACACUGCCAGCCCUUUCCCGUGUCCCCGUCACAGCUCUCCUGCCACCCGGCCCUGGGCCCUUCUCAGCCUGCCUCUGGCCUGGCCUCCCCCCUGCUCCCAACACACCCCUUCCUAUCCGGAGCAUCUGUCCUUGCUGCCUUUUAAUCCCUCACCCAGGCUCUAAGAAGACCCAAGGCUCCACGCUGUGGCUUGGAGUCUGAUGAUACUUGCAUGUGCCGCACAAGGAGGAGCAGAUUCUGCUGGAAAUCCUGGCGGAGACAGACCCCCGGGGUGUGUGUGAGAGGAGAGGGGGUGGGCAGAGCUCCCAAGGCCUCGCCACUGGGCCAAAGACCUGUUGGGUCCUGCAGAAGCCAUGGGGUGCCCUGGGGCUGGUGGGGCUGCCCCCAAGGAAGACGGGAACCAUGACACGAGCCCGGAGGCAAAGGCAGCGUUACCUGAGCCUGGUGACCCACCAGAAACUGGACAGGUGGGAGACGCCGUAGCUGUGGCCCCGGCUGGAGGGGACACUCAGAAUCCAGUAGGUGUGGGGAGAUCCAGUGGGCCAAGCCAGCAAUUCCCCCGGCGGAGUUCUGCAAGGUCACCCGGUGCGGGGGCCCUCGCGCUCCAGCCUUGGAAGCUUCCCGGCGGGAGCAGCUUCCCGAGGGCGCUGGGGGCUGGAGGGGUUUGGGCCUCCGGCCGGACGCGGUGAAGCAGGGGCGCAGGCCCACGCGCGCGAAGCCUUGCGAGCCCAGGAGAACCUCGUGCACAGCUCGCCCUUCACGCCGCACCCGCGGCCCCACAGCGGCGAGCGGCCCCGAGCGCGCCCAGAGCGCAGACGCGCCUCCAGCCGCUGCCGGCCCCUGACCCAGCGCCGUCGGUCCGCGAAGCCCAGGGAGCCCCGCGGCCGCGCCAGACGCUGGGGUGCGCCCUCACCCCGGGCCAGGCUAGCCGGGCCCUACCGGCGGGAGACCCAGCGGCCUGCCGUGGACAGACUCGCGGGGAAGCGCAGGAACGGAGGGCGGCGCGGACCCACCGCGGCAGCCCCGCGCCGAGCCCCGGACCGAAGCUCCCGCCCAGCUUUCCUGCGGCCGUCGGUGCCGACGGUCCUUCCACUGCCAAAGGGCUCUUACGAAGGGUCACUACGCAAAUAGUCCGUCCUGUCCAGCCCCUCACAUAGUUUGCGGGCUCCUGGUCCGGGUCCUUGCCCCGCGACACGGAGUCGUCCGCUCCCUGGCAGCUCGCCCCGGGCCGUCGGGGGGGCAGUUAGAAAUAAGUAAUGCAGUGUGUGGUGGGCGUUUGCGGAUGCCGGCGGCCGGGAAAAGCCUCGGCACGAGAUGCGGAGGCUGGACGGGCAGGCUGCCCUUGGGGACUGUCGGACCGGAGAGGCUCCAGAGGAGGCCGGGGCCUGGCCGGAGGGACGGGGUGGGCUGCAGGGUCCUGACGAAGCUCUGGGCCGCGCAGCCUGUGAUCUCCAUUCUGCCCUCUUCACUGGGAUUGUGAAACUUCUUUUGGACCAGAAGAGUACCUAUCCUGGGGUGGGGGUGGGGUUUCCAGACGGCCUGGGCUCAUUCCCUCCUGGCCCCACUGCUGGCCAUGAGCCAGGGCUGUCCUCCGUGGUCUUGGCCCUCAUCUUUCUCCUCAGGUCACAGCAGGAUGACACACCCUAGUCCCCAUGAACCUGGCUGUGCCUACAGCUUGCAAUA